CCCUGCUUCAGCUUGUUGUACAGAACCUCCCUAUGGGCAAGCAGAACAUACCAGGGCUUAGAGCAAAUAACUGCAGGCGACAACAGAACUGUGCUCUGUGACAGGGGACUGUUCUGUCUGAGCUGGGACUUGGACAAGGUGAUCACCACUACUGUGAGAAAAGAUGCCCAGCUCCAGCUUCCCACAGCCCACCUGCCACUGCUUCCUGCAAGCAUGACAAAUCAGAGGUUCAAAGGUGAAGAACACAAGGAACACCACCUGACAGCAAACACUGUCUGAAGAACGUGAGGUGCAGGCACGUUACAACAAACCUGGUGUACUGGCAUUACCUGAAGUCAGACUCCAGCUCAGUGGUGGAGUGGUUGAUCAUGGCACAGAGACAGUCUAUGCUGGAGCUGGACAGAGCACGCCCAAUGCACUUCUUCACUAUAUAAAACACGUCAUCCACCAUGCUGGAGGUGAGCUGGCCCUUCUCGUAGCUGUCCAUGGCAACAGCCUGCAAAGAAAGCUGUCUCAGAGCCCCGAGCCCAGUGAGUGAUGGUGCCCUCUCAGAGCAGUGCUGUGAGACCAAACUUGGUCUGCCCCCUUCACCCUCAGUGGGACUGUACCCUGUGUGGGCUGGCACUCAGUUUUCAGGAGCCCACAGACCUGGAAGAUCUGUCUCAGGAAGAUACCCACGGGUAUAUCUGGAGCCAAAGUUCAGAACCAACCACUUGCUUUUCAAGGCCAAGGGAAACAAAAGGCUUCCCAACAACUGCAGACCUGCCAUGUACUCGCAUCCCUCCCGUGGGAUGCUCAGCAGAGGACUGGGGAGCACACACAGAGAACCAUCAGAGUUUCAGUCAGAGCCCUACCUUGUUGACAGUCUCCCUCAUGAAGUAUUCCUCCAUGGUGAUGUAGUAGCCAAUGAGCUCUUGCAUGGUGCAGCUCAGCAGACAGUUGUUGAGGAGCUUGUCCAGAUAUUUUUGAUGCUCUACAGAAGAGAGAACCAUCAGCAGGGACCAAAUGGCAGAAAGCAGUUCCACCAAGUCCCCUUGCUACCUCUCUGAUGGGCACCCAAUGGACACACACCUGCCAAGCCCAAUCUGGAAGAAAUCACAGGCCUCAACUGUGGAGCUGAAAUUGCUGAGCUGAAUUUUGCAGGUGACAAAAGUGAUUUCCAGAGCUCCACAGAGUACCAAAACCCCGAGCCUGUGUUCCCUGUGGCCUCCACCUUUAGGAUUUGUGCCUGCAGUGACCAAAUGUCCCUCCCUCUCUUGUUUGUUAUACUCUACAGUCAUUCCUAAUGCUGGUUUCUCCACUAGAGGGAACAACCAGUGCUGAAAACAGGUUUGGAGAGGUCAAGCUACACAGUCCUCUUCCACAGCGUGCUCCCAAAGCAUCUUUGCAGAUCCUGUGUCACUCUGCUCUGCCACUGCCUCAGAGAUAUCUCCAUUUCUGGCUCCAAUGAACAGAGAGCCUGCAAGUCCUGGUGUUCAAGGUGUUACCUUGCUUUACCUCCUCUGAGGCCGUGGCAUCUCCCACCUCAAAAUCAGCCACUAUUCGUCUCUUGAUGAACCUCAAGUAGAGCUCACUGCGGGCGUUCAUCAGGGUGACUUCUGUUAAAAUGGGGUCAAGCUCCCUGGAAGGAACAGAGCAAGAACCGAGGUAGCAACACUACAAAAGGAGAGGCACUAAUUUAAUUCAGCCAGGUAGUGUGUUUUCUGUUCUCUCAUUGCAAGACCAAUACUGCCCCUUUCCAUCUGUGCCUUCGAGUGGCAGAGCUCAGCAGAAUAAUUGUGCAAAGAAUGCACACACAAUCAAAAUGUCCCCAAAAAAUCAUUUCCAAAGGGGGAUCUCUACAAUACUGCUUUCUUCUUUGCUCCAAGAGUUAGCGAUGCUCCCCCUCUUUUUCCCUCAUAGCUGUGAGGACAUCCACAUUAAAAUCACAGUGGUAAGGACUGCAAGACUCUAAGCAAUCUGCUACAACUUCAAAAUGAGCCCUGCUUUGAGUGGAAGGUUGGACUAGAGACCUUCCUCAGUCCUUUCCUACCUCAGUUUUGCUACAAUUCUGUGAGCCCCAAGCAGCCAGUGCUAGAAAUGCUUGGUCCCUGCCAUCUCCUCAUGUGUGCUUUUGUGCACAGAUCCAUCUGUUUCUCUGAACAUGAUGAAGAAUCUGAUUAAGCUCAACAGCUCAGGAAAUGUGAGACCAAAAAAGCACGUGACAAUGUGCAGAAUGCUGUGGUCACAUCAGACAUGACCAUGAAAAAAAAGAAAGACUGUCACAUCAGCAGCUUUUUCAUCAGUGUGCACAAAAGAAUUUUACAAAUCCUGCUCAAAGCCUCACAACCCAACUGUGGGACAAGGAAACAUUAUCUUUAUUUUAGAGAUGAAAAAGCAAAAGGUCAGAAAACCUGGGAUGGUUACUCAGAGCAAACAGUAAGUACAUCUUUAUAUUACCACUGAAACAAUUAGUUAUGCAGGCUCACACAGAUCUUGCUUGAGGAACCUAAGUCUUCUUUCAAGGCAUGUUUAUAAGUCAGGCAGUGCCAGAAGGGCUGGAUGCACUUUCAAAUGGGUUGUGUAAAUAUUUAAGAUAAGAAAAGUAGGGAAAUUGAAAGCAUUGUGGUUCAUCAGCAAGAAACCCAUGUUUCAGAGCUGCUGCAGCAGCAGUACAGGUUAAAUAAAACCCAGAUUUAUUCCUGAUUCUGUCACAAAUUAUCUGCCCAGGGAGCUGCUCCAUUUUGUGGGUUUCGGGGACUGUACUGUGGCCAUCAAAGAGCAGUGGGCACAGGCAACUGAAGUCUCAGUCCUUCAUGUGCAGUGAUACUGCCAGCCCUCCAGCAGUGCUGAGGCUUAAAAGUAAUGACUAAGCAAAAUAAAGCCCCAAGUCAGAAGCUGCCUUUAUGAAAGGGCAGAGAAGGGCACCUAACAAUUGGAUUUUAUGUGUUAGUAGCCACAAAACCUCUGGAAGACUGGGAGUUAUCUAAAUGCUAAGUAGUGUUAAUAACAGCUCAAGAGUGAAAGGUUAGAGCGCAUAAAGACUUCUUCUUUGUACCUUGGUUCAAUCUUCUCUGCAGAAGAACUUCUCAUCAUGCUGUUCUGGACUUGCUGGAACUGCAAUCACAAAAAAAAAAAAGAGAGAGUCAUCAGUCUUUGCUGAUGACUUGGAGUUACCAGCUGCUUUUCGUGCUGUAGCCCAAGGAAGUGCUUACUCACUGGGGGUGAUAGGAAUGCUUUGCAGGAAGCACUGCCAGAGAAGGGAACUGCAUCAGUUCACCUCCUCCUCCAAGGAAGAGCUCGUCCUGCCAGGGAGGACAAUGGGAGGGGACUCCAGCAGAGGCACCAAGCUCCCAUGCUGCUUCUUGAACAGCCAGGCCUGGAGGCACCAACAGCUGCUCAGCCUUAAGGGAUCUGAUUUGUUUGUCUGGAGAGCUGGAAGUCUGAAGAAACCUCCAGGGAACACCCAUACGUUUUGAGGAUGCAGAGAACGGGAAGAGUCUGAUUCCUGGAGGAACCCAACAAAUCCUUUGCAAAUCCACUUCGUGCCUGUGCAAGCUGUAGGUAGGAAAACUUGCUUAUUGUGAUGCCCUCUCCUGGCUGGAAUAAAUCCUGCUGGUGUUGUCCCUGUCCCUCGAGUGUGACACGUCUGCAGCUCAAUGGGGAAUGAGACAUUUUGUGAGCCAAAAUUAAAAACAUUUAAAUUCAUGGACGAUCUCACCAGGGACUAUUUUUAAUCCAUCAGGAAAGAGGGAAGGAAGAUUACCUUCGAAGAGGAGUGUCAGGGUGUCUGCAAAGAUGACAGCAGCUCGACGGUCACUCAUGUCUGUCCCCAUCACCAGCUGCAGGUUCUCUUCUGCUUUGCUGGCCACCUGCAUGACAACAGGACCAGUCAGCUGAACACCCAAAGGUAUUCUUCAUCCCCACGAUGGUCCCCUGUCCUUGCCCUAUCCAGCUUUCACUGGCCUUCCCAUUGCAAGAGCUAUUGCUGUUGUUCCUGCUUUGAACAGGGAUCCUUUCCUCUUUUGUGGAAAACUCAAGGGUUGAGAAAAGACAGAAACUUGUUCUUCUCUUUCCAGGCUCAUUGUAUGAGCUUUAAGCAAGUGCAGAGAGCAAGACACAGAAGGAGAAGCCGAACAGCCCCCAGGAUCUGUACUCAGACACCAGAAAGCCCAUCCCAGGACACAAAAUGCAAGGAGAGAGAUGAACUGAGGCCAGUGCUGGUUUCUAAGAUUAACAAGCCCCAGCCAAAACCUCUUUCCACGACAUCCAUUGACAGAGACUGAGUUUUGCUUUCCCCUGGAUGACCAGACAGGCCACAGCAGUUUCACAGACCCUGUUACCUGCUUGCAGAGGUACUCAGAGAACUUGCUCAGCCCCUCUUCGUGUAAGCCCAGCAGGGGAAAGAUCUUGAAGAACCGUUCCACCUGGGGCAGGUCUCCCUGCUUCAUGGCUGUGUCGAACUUCUCUGUGACAAUUGUCUUCAGGCGCUGCUCUGCCUCCUGCAGGAGCUUCAGGUUGGCAUCAAUUAUGCCUCCUGGACAAAAGGACAGAAAAGAAAGGGAAAAGUGACAGCACAAUGUUAGUGCUGUAUCCAGAGAUACUUUUUUCCUCAGGGGAGAGACCAACACUGUGCAGCUCUAGGCUGAGAAGGCAGAAAACACACUGGAAUUUCUCUAGGCAAAGAAAGACAGGUAGGUGUGUGAUGUACACACAGCUAAUGUUGUGGUUUUCCAUGGAAGAUGAGAACACAUCCACCAGGACAUUCCUUCUAAGGAUCUGGUAAAUUACUCCUUGAUUUCCAUUUGCUCUGCUUGGUAGCUCACUGUAACACUGCAACAGUUCUCCCUGACAGGGCCUUCUCCCUCACUUCUUUUGACCUGAACAUUUUGUCCUUUGCUUAGUUAGCACCUGAAAUACUAUUAAAGCUGUGUGCCAGGAACUCUUCUUUCAAUUGAUGUUAAUUCCAACUUAACAACACUUCGCCUCAAAGUCAGUCUAUAACAUACAAAGAACUUUGGCCAGAACUAGAUCUUCUGCUUUGUCUAUUGGGCUAUCUGCCAUGGGAAAUCAUGCACUCUCUAGUUAUGUGCUACUGGAAGGGUGAGUUAUCAGCUUCUCCUCAUGAGCAGAGCUCACCUUCCUUGCCCUGACGACUGAGCUCAAUGACUGACUUGUCCAGAGACAGAUAGCGAUGGAUAUGAGCUGCUGCUUGUUCAUAGUCUUCAUUCCUCAGGGCUGUUUGAACUCCAUCCAUGCAGAACUUCAGGUCAAGGAUGUCAUCAGCUCUCUGAAUGGCCUGAUAGAGGCGGUUCUGCAAGAAAGGCACCCAGUAAAGCUUCCUGCUGCGGGACGGACCAGGGAGAGGGAAGUGUGAGGAGAAGACUGUGGGGGGGGAAAAAAGGAAGAGACUGAAGCAAUACUUCUCUACACAAUAAACAACUACGUAAGCAGAAACCCCACACUACUUAAAAAGUCAUAAAACCAACGGCUCUGCAAGAGGAACAGCAUUUGUCAAAACUGAGGCUGAGCUCAGCUCUGCUACAACAAACAGGCACAGACCAGAGAGACAACCACAGGUUGUCUGGUUUGAUUUGUGCAGCAGUGCUGAGUGCUGGGAUCGACACCUCUCAGCCUGCCUCUGGACAAGGAAGAGAACAGCCCAGAUUCCUGACCAGGUUGGGUGACAGUGACCAUCUCCACUGUCCUCAGUGCUUGACAAGGGUGUCAGUGAAGGCUGCCCCCACCUUAUCCAGGAUAUUGUACCAGGAGCUGCAUGGACAGAAGGGGAUGCUGGGGCAGCAUCCCUGGAAGUGUUCCAGGCCAGGUUGGAUGGGGCUCUAAGCAACCUGGUCUAGUGAAAGGUGUCGCUGCCCAUGGCAGGGGUGGUUGGAACAUGAUGGGCUUUAAGGUCCCUUCCAACCCAAACCAUUCUGGGAUUCUAUGAUAUUUACUCUUAUACUGUAGAAUAUCCAGGAGCCCGGAAAGAUCCUGCUAAAUAAAGAACAAAGCAGUUUCCUGCCCAGUAGAGAAAAGAGCACAUCUCUGUUGUGCUGUGAGCACACAGAACAUGGUUUGGUGGUGCUCAGUCCCAAACCCCCUCCACCCAGUUACCUUGGCAAGGUCGAGCUGUCGGACUUUGCUGCUGACAUUCUCAGCCAGGUUACAGGUGAAGGUGAUCAUUCCUGCCAACUGCUGGGCAUCCCCCUCGAUCAGCUGCAGAUUAGGGCUGGGAACACAAGGGAACUGAACAUGAGGUGCAGGCACUGAGCAGUCGGACGGUGUGCGACAGCGGGACGGUUAUUCCUGCAGACACCACUGCUCCUGGCACAACACUCCCUCCCAUUCCACGCCCUUCCCCCAGGGGCAAUGCAGCAGAAUGGGACAGACUGAUUGCUCUGGAAGGGGCUGCACAGACUGACUGUGUCUUGCUAUCGGACAGGGCAUGGAUGAGCCACUGGGGCUUUAUGGCAGUCUCCACUUCUGAAGGGAAAGAUGAAGGCUGUAAAAUUGUGCUCUGAGUUUUUACCAGGCACGAGGCCACUGAGGAUGACUUUCCACAUGGAUGUCUUUCCAGACUGCCUGCACAAGCUCACCACGAAGAGGCAGUAAUACUUCAUCACCUGACACAAGACAUCUGAUCCAAGCAUUGGUGCUGAAAACUGGCAACCUCUGGGGUGAGACCUUCAAAACCCACCCAGCCUACACCAAAACAGGUCAGUCUGUGUGACAGCACAGCAGUCCCCUCUGUCAGUGCUGCUGAGAAGACUGGGGCCCUGGGGAUGAGGAUUCAACUGCUGUUCCCUGCCGCAAACUGAUGUAAAGCCUGAUGUUUCCUGAGAAUGUUCCUCUACAACGCUGAAAGGAAUGUUCAGGUCGUGCAGUGAGGAGAAGGAAGGGGAGAGAGUGGGGAGCACUAACCCCAUGCGCUGAAGAGCAACCAUCUUGUUCCCUAUAGUGCUUUGCUGUUCCAGAAGGGCAUCCAGCUCUUCCUGCACAACUUUCUGGAAAAAAAAGGACAAAGAAAUCCUUGUGUGGCUUCCGCUCUGCCCAGGCCAGCAAUUUAUCACAGACCCUAUGUCCAAGUCAAGGACACGGAGCUAGAAAGGCAUUAGUGCUUCCCAGAACUCAAGUGACAAAUAAAUCCUUCCUGAUCUCUCAUUUUAAA